rnacentral:lncRNA from 1 species
UUUUUUUUUCAGAACAUCAUUAUUUAGUGUUGAUAAUAAAUGAAUCAAAAAGCAUAAGUUUUUUAUUAUCAAUUUUUUAUAAUUGAGAUGAUAAGGAAACUUAUCAAAUGAUUUUAUACUCAUCAUCAAAUGGCUGAGGAUAUGACAAGUUAUAUAUGAUGAAAUCAGUAAGACAAAAGAAAGACUAGAUUCUUGGUAGUUC